GGUUGUAUAGUGUAGGGGUUAGCACGAGGGAUUCUGAUGCCUCUUCUCAUGAAUCAGAAACUUCCCUAAACCCCGGUUCGAAUCCGGGUACGACCU